AUUACGUAUGCAGCCUAAUCGUAACAUGUCCGGAUCCAAAGAGUCAAGCCAAUUAUACAAUCUGGCAGAAUGUACAGCCAUUCAACUAUUCGCAAAGCACAUUACAGCUUAAUCUGUACUGUCAGCCGGGAUUUUAUGCAGUGUUAGGAAACAAUUACACCGAUCAUUUCGAAGUUGUAUGUACACAUCGUUCCUGGAUGGCAUUAACAAAUUGUUCACUAAUAGACUGCGGUCCGCCACGUGUAGAAGCAAAUGGUCAUUACACAUUUAAAGCAACCACUCUCUGGUCUGUUGCAACUUUAACGUGCAAUCCUGGUUAUACACGUGCUGAUAAUUCGGACAUUAUAUGCCGGGGAAACCGCU